rnacentral:snRNA from 1 species
GCCUUCGGGCAUAUGGUUUAUUUGAAACGAUACAGAGAAGAUGUACGUUUUACCCCACACCACCAAGUCCCAGGUUCGAUUCCCAGUACUAACAUCCAUCACAGUAGCAUGGCCCCUGCACUAAGGAUGACACGCUCAAUCAAAGAGAAGCUAAACAUUUUU